ensembl:snRNA U1 U1 spliceosomal RNA
AAACUUACUUGGCAGGGGAGAUACCAUGAUCAUGAAGGCGGUUUCCCCAGGGCAAGAUUUAUCCAUUAUACUCUGGGUGUGCUGAUCCCUAUGAUUUCCCCAAAUGUGGGAAACUCGACUGCAGAAUUUGUGGUAGUGGGGACUGAGUUCAUGCUCUCCCUU